rnacentral:rRNA from 1 species
UAACCUGCCCAAGAGAUCGGGAUAACACCUGGAAACAGAUGCUAAUACCGGAUAACAACAGAUGAUGCCUAUCAACUGUUUAAAAGAUGGUUCUGCUAUCACNCUUGGAUGGACCUGCGGUGCAUUAGCUAGUUGGUAGGGUAACGGCCUACCAAGGCGAUGAUGCAUAGCCGAGUUGAGAGACUGAUGGCCACAUUGGGACUGAGACACGGCCCAAACUCCUACGGGAGGCAGCAGCC